rnacentral:lncRNA from 1 species
CCUUACAGCACCCCGCACACUCUGUUAUGACGUUCCUUAGUCUGUUGUGGAGUUGCCUGGUUUCCUGAAGCAGAUCUAGCCCCUUGAGCAAUGAUGGUACACAGCGCAUGCUUGAUAUUAGAGAUGGAGUUUGUGUUGGAUGACUUCGAGAACCAAUAUGAGAGAAGCACUAACGUCCACGGGCCCAGGUGUGGUGACACACACUUGUUGUCCCAGGCCUUCGCAAGAAGAGGUAGGAUGAGCUCAGAGCCGGACUCAUCUGUGUAGCAAAUGCAAGGGCAGCCUGGGCUCCAUGGAAGCCUGUCACAAAGCAGCAACAGCAACAGCAACAGCAACAGCAACAGCAAUAGCAGCAACAACAGCAAUGAACAAAAACACCUCUACAAGAGCCACAUUCAACUCCAUUGGCCACAGGCAAACCAAGGGGAGGUGGUGCACAACAACCUGGCUUAAGAUGGAAACAAAAGUCCUCUUUGUCUGGAAACACAAUGGAUAAUGGACACCCCGUUGUAUGGCACAAGCAAUGGUCAGCCCAGUUAUUGCUUUUGAGAAAAGGACAGGCUUUGCAGCAAUGACCUUCUGAUUCUAACUUUUUAAGGAGCCUGACAUUCAGCACGGGACAAUGAGGCUGGUUAGACUCAGAGGACUGGUAGCUGACUGGUCCAAAGCACCAAAAUUCACCUCUCAUGUUUACAGGGCUGAGCAGUGACUCGGGAAGAGAAGGGGAUCAGCCCCCAGGAGUGUCAAUGCAGCCUGCAAACACCACAACCAAUGAAGAAGCAUGUCCCCAGGGGAGGGGACAGCCCCUAAAACGAGAGCCACACACUCUCCACUGGACUCUCAUAAUCUUUCUGUUUUUCUAGAGGCACUAAAAUUCCAGCUAAAAGCUUUUUACUCCCAAAGAAACUGCACUGAGGAAGGACUGGUCCAAAUAAAGCCACUAAUGGCCUCUAAGCACCCA